AGCAGCCGCGGUAAUUCCAGCUCCAAUAGCGUAUAUUAAAGUUGUUGCAGUUAAAAAGCUCGUAGUUGAAUUUCGGGGUUAGUAGGUUGGUCAUGCCUCUGGUAUGUACUGGUCUCACUGAUUCCUCCUUCCUGAUGAGCCGUAAUGCCAUUAAUUUGGUGUUGCGGGGAAUUUGGACUGUUACUUUGAAAAAUUGAGUGUUUAAAGCAAGCUAACGCUUGAAUACAUUAGCAUGGAAUAAUGAAAUAGGACGUUCGAUCCUAUUUUGUCGGUUUCUAGGAUUGACGUAAUGAUUAAUAGGGAUAGUUGGGGGCAUUAGUAUUCUAAUUGUCAGAGGUGAAAUUCUUGGAUUUAUUGAAGGCUAACUAC
rnacentral:rRNA from 1 species